GCUCGCAGCCGCGCUCUCCCCGCCCCUCACCGCAGCCUGCAGCCGCGCUCACCGCCGCGGUCCGCCCCGGCGCCCCGGGACCCGUUAGUGCCCAGCCUGCGGGCCGACCGCGACCCCCGCCCGGCGCGAGCCUGCCCCCAGCUCUGCCGACACUUGACCCAGACCAGUCCCAGCGCCCAGUGCGGCCGCCCGGGGAGCCGCGGGAGAGGCGGCGGCGGAGGGAGGAGGGAGAGGAGGGCCGAGCCGGCGGCCCGGGAGGCCCGGUUUUUGAAGCCGCUUCUCUGCCCGAGUUAGGUUUCGCCUAGCGCAAUUUCUUUCUCUAUGUACUUUGCGAAUAAGUUUCGGAGCAUCGGUUAACAGCCUAUGGGUGAAAUUUGGCUUUCAUUCAUGAAUGAGAGCACAUCUUUCACUGCAUGGAUAGCUGUGUACUUGAAGAAUGUAAACAUGAAGAAAACACCAAGUUCAAUAAAUGUGUCUUCUAUGUGCCAGGUCCUGUGGUAUUUGUAAGGGAUAGAAACUCUUGUCUUUCAGGAUCUUGAAAUCAGGAUCAUAGGGGCUAGGCACAACAAUAAAGAGAAUUUUUUUGGAGUCCAUUCAAUAAUAGUAAGUUUAAAGUAAGGAAAUAUUACAGAGGAGGGAAUGUUUGACUUCAGGAACAGGUCAGAGAACGCUUUGUAGAUAUGCUAGCACCUGAGCAGGAUUUUGAGGAAUAAAUGGAAGUUUUCAGUGGAAGAGAUAGAUGGCAUUGUAGACAAAAGAGAACAGCAUAGUUAAAGAUAUGAACAAGUAAACUAAUUGUGUGUUCAAGAAAUUUCAAGUUGUUUUUUCUUGGAGUACAUGCAAAAUCUGAAGAAAGAGGGUUGCUAGAGAAAGCCCUAACAUAUGCUAUUACAUUUAAUAAGUCAAAUAAUUGGCUUUUUGGGUAUGAAGUAUAUGUAAAAUAGAGACUUUGUUAUAUUUUUGACAC